GAUGAACGCUGGCGGCGUGCCUAAUACAUGCAAGUCGAGCGAACAGACGAGGAGCUUGCUCCUCUGACGUUAGCGGCGGACGGGUGAGUCACACGUGGAUAACCUACCUAUAAGACUGGGAUAACUUCGGGAAACCGGAGCUAAUACCGGAUAAUAUAUUGAACCGCAUGGUUCAAUAGUGAAAGACGGUUUUGCUGUCACUAAUAGAUGGAUCCGCGCCGCAUUAGCUAGUUGGUAAGGUAACGGCUUACCAAGGCAACGAUGCGUAGCCGACCUGAGAGGGUGAUCGGCCACACUGGAACUGAGACACGGUCCAGACUCCUACGGGAGGCAGCAGUAGGGAAUCUUCCGCAAUGGGCGAAAGCUUGACGGAGCAACGCCGCGUGAGUGAUGAAGGUCUUCGGAUCGUAAAGCUCUGUUAUUAGGGAAGAACAAAUGUGUAAGUAACUAUGCACGUCUUGACGGUACCUAAUCAGAAAGCCACGGCUAACUACGUG
rnacentral:rRNA from 1 species